UACAGAGGGUGCGAGCGUUGUUCGGAAUUAUUGGGCGUAAAGGGCGCGUAGGCGGCGCCACAAGUCACUUGUGAAAACUCUGGGCUCAACUCAGAGCCUGCAAGCGAAACUGUGGUGCUGGAGUAUGGGAGAGGUGCGUGGAAUUCCUGGUGUAGCGGUGAAAUGCGCAGAUAUCAGGAGGAACACCGAUGGCGAAGGCAGGUCUCUGGGCAUUAACUGACGCUGAGGAGCGAAAGCAUGGGGAGCGAACAGG
rnacentral:rRNA from 1 species